rnacentral:rRNA from 1 species
GAUGAACGCUAGCUACAGGCUUAACACAUGCAAGUCGAGGGGCAGCGGGAUUGAAGCUUGCUUCAAUUGCCGGCGACCGGCGCACGGGUGAGUAACGCGUAUCCAACCUUCCGUACACUCAGGGAUAGCCUUUCGAAAGAAAGAUUAAUACCUGAUGGUAUGAUGAGAUUGCAUGAUAGCAUCAUUAAAGAUUUAUCGGUGUACGAUGGGGAUGCGUUCCAUUAGGUAGUAGGCGGGGUAACGGCCCACCUAGCCGACGAUGGAUAGGGGUUCUGAGAGGAAGGUCCCCCCACAUUGGAACUGAGACACGGGUCCAAACUCCUACGGGAGGCAGCAGUGAGGAAUAUUGGUCAAGUGGACGAGAGUCUGAACCAGCCAAGUAGCGUGAAGGAUGAAGGUCCUACGGAUUGUAAACUUCUUUAUAAGGG